GUUCAAAGACAUGCUGUUCGGGUUCAGCCGUAGUGUGUGAGUUUUACUGAUGUCUGUUUUUACCUGUUUCUGUCUUGCAAUAAGUUCCAACAGACCAACGCACCCUGUGGCUGGUAAGCGUACCACGGUUUACCCCUUGGCCUUGCUCUCUCCCGAGCUGCCUACGGGUCCGGGGUUGGGGGAGCAGCCACUUUCACUGGGGCGGGAGGCCGGUGCUGUUCCCUCAGUCUGUUGACUGCAGCCAGAACUGUUGUCAACUCACUGAAGUACAGCCACCUGGGCAUCAUAUGCCAGCUUUAUAAAUGAGGGUAUCAGCUCGGAAAAGGUUAAUGAGGGUCAGGGUGAGGCAAAAAGAAAAAAAAGCAGGAGGAGUAGUAGCACGAAUAAGCACCAACCACAAAAGUGGGUGAUAAAUCACAAAAUGUGCUCCAGAGGAAAUGCUUUUGUGGAACAGCGCUUUCAGCUGCACAAAUAAUCAUACAUGUUCACUGUUAUCACCUAGCGACGCUUCUCAGAAUUUAUAAUUGUAGGUCUCCGUCCGACUUCUCCUCCUGCUCCCUGUGGGUGGAGGAAGGACGCGGCGCUAAAUACAGCCCUUCGGACCCUGUGCCAUCGAGAAGGUUCUCGAUCCCCCCUCGCGCACAACUGGGACGGAGCUCGUGGGCACCUGGCGCUGCGCUCAUCAUGGGCAGGAGAAAGUCCGGCAAACGGCCCUUUUUUAGAAAGAGAAAGGCGGUGUUGAAGACAACCGAUGGGAAAGUCGCUUCUAUGAGACGUAGGAGGUGCAUUGAAGUGCAGGAAGUCCAGGAGGCGAAUGAAAGGGCAAAAUCCGUCACUGUGUUUUUGCGCACAGGGGAGGGGAAGUCGGUCCACAUGGCGUUCUGUUUCCAGCGGAAAAAAAAAAAACAAUUUUCUUGUUUUUAAAAAUAAUAAGCUCCAGGUACUGGAGUGUGAACUCCCCACUUCCAAUGAGUUCUUUUUCAAGUGGGGAGAAGAGAGUGGAAAGGCAAAGAGCCUGGUGUCCGUGGUCACUCCACAGGUGUACCUCAGCACCGCGGGCUCUGUGGUCACUGUGGGAACAGCGUUCGCUUCUGCUCCCCCGCUACUCUUUGACCUCACGUGGUUGGAUUAAGGGAGGUUUCUUUCUGAAUAAAUGUGCUUCUGCUAGAACA
rnacentral:lncRNA from 1 species